CAGCCGCCACGGGAACACGUAGGGUGCGAGCGUUAAUCGGAAUUACUGGGCGUAAAGCGUGCGCAGGCGGUUGUGUAAGACAGGUGUGAAAUCCCCGGGCUUAACCUGGGAACUGCGCUUGUGACUGCACAGCUAGAGUAUGGCAGAGGGGGGUGGAAUUCCACGUGUAGCAGUGAAAUGCGUAGAGAUGUGGAGGAACACCGAUGGCGAAGGCAGCCCCCUGGGCCAAUACUGACGCUCAUGCACGAAAGCGUGGGGAGCAAACAGGAUUAGAUACCCCCGUAGUCCCUGUCUCUUAUAA
rnacentral:rRNA from 1 species